AUUGAACGCUGGCGGCGUGCUUAACACAUGCAAGUCGAACGAUGAACUUGGAGCUUGCUCUGGGGGAUUAGUGGCGAACGGGUGAGUAACACGUGAGUAACCUGCCCUGGACUCUGGGAUAACUUCGAGAAAUCGGAGCUAAUACCGGAUAGGACCUUGCACCGCAUGGUGUGGGGUGGAAAGUUUUUCGGUUUGGGAUGGACUCGCGGCCUAUCAGCUUGUUGGUGAGGUAAUGGCUCACCAAGGCGUCGACGGGUAGCCGGCCUGAGAGGGUGACCGGCCACACUGGGACUGGGACACGGCCCAGACUCCUACGGGAGGCAGCAGUGGGGAAUAUUGCACAAUGGGCGCAAGCCUGAUGCAGCAACGCCGCGUGCGGGAUGACGGCCUUCGGGUUGUAAACCGCUUUUAGUAGGGAAGAAGCCUUCGGGUGACGGUACCUGCAGAAAAAGGACCGGCUAACUACGUGCCAGCAGCCGCAGUAACAC
rnacentral:rRNA from 1 species